ensembl:lncRNA
AUGAGGAGGAGGAAGAAGAGGAAGAGGAGGAGGAUGAAAAGAUAGAUAGAAAGCAGAAUGCACAGGAAAUGGCAAAGGCAAAAAAAAAGCAUGAUGAGAGGGAUGCUGAUGAUGAAAGUGAAGAAGAGGAAGAAGAGAGUUCCAGGAGGAAAAAAACAAACAAGAAGAAAAACCAGAAAGCUGGUACAAGCGGAGGAGGAGAAAGUGAGGCAGAAGAAACCGGAAAGGGGAAGGAAAGGGCUGGCAAAAAAAUGCCUGGCAAAGAACAAAAGGGAGAAAGCAAAGACAGACAAGCAAACAAGAAAGCAAAGGGGAAGGAGAAAAAGAAAAAGAACACCAGUGGGAGUUCCUGCUCAUCUGCUUCCAGCUCUUCAGAUGAAGAAUCACUAUGUGAAGAAGAACUAGCCAAGCUAAAAGAACAGGUGGAAGAUAAGAAAAAACUCAUAUCUGUUAUGAGAAACAAACCUUGGCGGAUGGUAAAGAAAUUACAGAUGCUGAGGUAAACAGCCUACAACAUACCUGCCGUGAUUUCAGUUUUCACUACUGGUGUGCAUGUGUGUGCGCAUGAACAUACAUGCAGUGCUUGGAAAUAUUAUUUUUGGACUACAACUCGCAUAAAACCCAGGAGAUGGGUAGAAAUUAAGUGAAUUGUAAUCCAGAAGUAACUUUCCCAAACUCUGAUUCAGACUGUGAUUUCAAUUUCUGAGAAUUGUGCUUGAUAGCAGCCAUGUCACUGUGAAGCCCCCAGUCCUGGGACUGUCGAGAUUAAAUUUUCCAUCUGAACUGGCUCAAAUAAUGAAAGCACUGAAAAAAAGCAAUCUUUUAGCAACCUUUGUAACUGGAGGACAAAUAAUGAAAAUAAAAACCUCCUUAGCUGAUACCUUACCCUGGCUCAUGUUAUUACUUUAAGUAAAAGCACACACCUAAAACUUCAUUGAAAUUCUUUCUACUUUUCUUUGGUUGUUGAUGUGUUUUGUAGGGGGUAAUGUGGCCUUCUAGAUGUUGUAGGACUGCAACUUACUGUUGUCCUAGCCAGCAUAGUGGAAGGUGUUGAAUGCUGGAAGUUGUAGUCUAACAACAGCUGGAGGAUCACUUUUCCCAUCCCUUUUGUACAGGAAUCAGAAGGAGGAUUUCUCCAAAAGCUUUCAAAUGAAACCUUUUCUAAGUGAUCUGGGGACAGUUGCCAAAAAUGACACAAUGCAGCUCAGGUUAGAGUUCUUUCUUAUCAUUCAGGAAAAGCCAUAGGUAGAACAGGGCUUAUCUACAUGGGCCGAAUAACACAUAUUCAGCAUGCAUCUGAUCCUGGCUCUCUUCCUGAUGUUCCUCUACUGCUGGUAGGUUUUGCAGGAUAAACCGGAUUAAUCCAGGUUAGUACCUCAGUAAGAAAUGAGGAUGCUUUGGAAUUUUCCUGAAAAUCUUUGCUUGAAACUCCAGAUCAACCCUGAAGCUUUGACACAGUGUGAACAGCAGGAUUGGAUGUGUUUUAACAGUUUGCUGUCUACAUGAGGCACCAUCGCCAUCCCCCUUUUCCAUGCACCCAUCGGCACAAGGAAUUGGGGACAAACGGGGC